rnacentral:lncRNA from 1 species
AUCUCCUCCAAACCGCUGCCGCUGUCUGGUGGAGGACACGCCGCCCCUUCACCGCCUCCUCGCCACCUGACAACAGAGGUAAAACAGUUAAAUCAUAUUCUAUCUAUCAUCAAUGUAGAAACAAACUUGAUAUGGGAAACUGCAAAAAUAUUGUGGUAGGGUGAAAUAAAGGAUAACAAUUUUGAACAAUUCCACACACGUUAAAUACCUUUACAAUUUGAAGUGUUAAGAGCCGUGAUUCUUACUGAAGAAAAUUCAGAUGUCCUGAUAUAGGGGUGGUAAAGGAUCCAAAGUUUAGGCUAAAAAUUUUAAGGAUGAAGCUAAAAAAAUGGCUGGACUGAAAAUUUAUAUGUUUUUGAACUAAAAUGAGCUAGGGGAUGAGUCGGAUUGUGAAAGGGCAUUAUGUUAGGAUCAUGAUCCAUUAGCAGAUAUGAACUGAAUCCCUACUGAAGAAAAUUCAGAUGUCCUGAAUAGGGGAUGGACUCCAUGAUGGCUUGGUCAAUCUUCAUCUGUUGCUGCGGAUCCAUCCCCAUGAUGGUGCUUCUGUGUUCUUAUUCUCCAAUGACUCCUUUGGAUCAUUUUCUCCCACUAAUCUCUGCAUUUCAUUCUACAGAAUAAAUGAAAAAUACGAGUCAACAUUUACCUUUAGCAUCAAAAGAUAUCCCUCAAUGGAUCUAUAGUAAAUCAAAUAUUCAGAUUAGUUGCAUAUAUUACACAAAAUUUUGUCUUCUCAACAAACAUAUGACAUAACCAAGUAUUCAUGCUCACUGCUAAAUCAGAUGGUACAGUGCGUUCCUAUGAAUUAAUCCAACAGCAUGGCACUGAGAAGAAAGGUGUGCAUAGGGAACUUAUGACUUCAUAUAUUACUACUGAACGAAAGGUGUAUACCCUUUUUAUGAAGCAUUGCCAUAAGCAUAUCAAAUAUCGCAAUCCCUACUUUCCAUUAUGAAUUCCUACUCAGAUGACAUGGCAUCGAUAAGCCAUCUGGCAUUGCACAAAAAGUGGCAAAAUAAUUAUGUACUAUCAGGGAAUGCUUCUGCAGCUUUCAAAUAAGGUGAGCCUAUGUAUCCACUGCAGUACAUAAGUAGAUACUUGAAGCCUCAAAAAGAAUCAUUACAAACAUAACAACAUCUGUAAUGCAUCUUUUUUUUAAUUUGCAACAGUGGGUACAUCACUUCUGUGCACACGUAGAUUGUCCUCUUUACAAUUUGACAGUUUAAACUCUACAUAGAUAAACCAAAGUGGUGCCAUUUCUGUCUAUUGUUUUAAACAGAACAUAUGAAUGAAUUAUUUUAAUGUAACACUCCUUGUGAAAAUAAGCACCUAGAUAGUGGUUAACCGGUAAUGGAACUGUACUUCUACAUCUGCAAAAUUGCUAACCAGGGGGAAGGUGCUAAUUCUUAUGGUCAUAUCCAGGGGGAUGUACUAUUUGUAUCCAGGGAAGAGCUCAAUGCAUCAUUUUAUUUUUGUAGAUGGCUGUAUACCAAUAUUUAUUGUCAAACAUGGCAGCAGCAAAAAUUCUGUGGCAAGAACAGCACAGAUCAAGCAGCUAAUAGGAAGCUAAUAUCCUGUACCAGCAAAUUGGAGAGCAUCACCCAU